rnacentral:rRNA from 1 species
UUCGCAAUGCCCGAAAGGGUGACGAAGCGACGCCGCGUGCGGGAAGAAGGCCUUCGGGUUGUAAACCGCUGUCGGGAGUUAAGAAAUGUAAGGAUGUUAAUAGCGUCUUUGCUUGACUAAGGCUCCGGAGGAAGCCACGGCUAACUCUGUGCCAGCAGCCGCGGUAAUACAGAGGCGGCAAGCGUUGUUCGGAAUUAUUGGGCGUAAAGAGCACGUAGGCGGCUAUGUAAGUCGGUUGUGAAAGCCUUCCGCUCAACGGGAGAACAGCAUCCGAUACUGCAUGGCUUGAGUGCGGGAGGGGAGAGUGGAACUUCUGGUGGAGCGGUGAAAUGCGUAGAUAUCAGAAGGAACGCCGGCGGCGAAAGCGGCUCUCUGGCCCAUAACUGACGCUGAGUGUGCGAAAGCUAGGGGAGCAAACGGGAUUAGAUACCCCGGUAGUCCUAGCCGUAAACGAUGGGCACUAAGUAGAGGGGUU